GGAUAUUUCACAGACCACAUGCUCACACAUGCAUGAAACAUGCACUGGCAACAUUUCCUUUACAGCACCACAGUCCACUAACCAGCUCUGCAUAUUGCACUUGGUGUGUAAAACAACACACAGUGGAGCAUAGUGUGCAGAGGGUUUAUUUUACCUUCUUCACAGGUGCCAUGUUUCCCGUUCUAGCUGCAGCACAAAGCACUUUGUAACAGCGAACCCCUCUUUAGGCCUGAAGAGUGCCUGAGAUCCCUGCGUCGCUCUUUUUAUACUGUUGCAGGUCCAGGACGACUUUAAGUUUGAACCAAAUUCAUGCCAAAUUGCCCCAUGUUUGUUUGGAAAUUGCAUAACAAAGUCAACAAUUAACUGGGUUGAGUAAAACAGGGAAAGAGAAUGAAAGGGAAAUCUGCCUGUGUAAUGAUUGUAGCAGCAGGCUAAACCUUCACAUUAACUCACUCCCGUUUGUCCCAAGCAUUUUUUUUUGUUCAUGUUUUUAUUUUUCUAUUUUUUUGCUUUUAUUUUCCGCAGACCGCAGAGAUUGCCUUAUCACGUAAGCUCGAGAGCAUAUGCCUAUACUUCUGCUUUUGACAUUUUUCUCAGGGUUUACCUUGAGCAUGCAAAUGCAUUUACGUGUUUGCAACCUCAUGUGUUUGUGUGAGUGUGCACAUGUUUGUAACAGCAUGCAUUUGUGUCCUCAAAGACCUAGCUUUGGGAUGUCACAAAUUUAGUCUGUCCUGGUUUUUGGAAGCUUCACACAUUUGAACAUUUGUUAGUGCCGAGACUCACAAAAUAUAGUACUGUAAAUGUUUGCAGCUCAAGCCCCAGUGCAGUGCUCAUGUAGGCAUGCAUGCAUGCAUGUAUAGAACUAGAACAACUAGUUUAUGAAACAGUUUAUUUCCACACAGUGAGUGGGGAAAUAUUUUGAUAAUCAUUGUCUAGAGAUUCGAUGACUUCUGGCACUUUAACAAUAAUAAUGUAGUUAUUUUUUCUGUUUUAGAUCAUGCAGCUAAAUAGGGAAAUAACAGAUUAAUUGUAUUUCGAAUGAUAAUAGAUUAGGUUGCUUUGAUCGUGCUGUCUGGAAUGGAAA
ensembl:lncRNA